rnacentral:rRNA from 1 species
GGCUCGAGGACGAACGGCUGGCGGCGUGCCUAACACAUGCAAGUCGAGCGGGGACAUACGACGGAACGGAAGUUUCGGAUGGAAGUGAAGAUGUAUGUUCUAGCGGCGGACGGGUGAGUAACGCGUGAGCAACCUGUCCCUUACAGGGGGAUAACACAGCGAAAGUUGUACUAAUACCGCAUGAGACCACGGUGGGACAUCCCACAGGGGUCAAAGGAGCAAUCCGGUAAGGGGUGGGCUCGCGUCCGAUUAGAUAGUUGGUGAGGUAACGGCCCACCAAGUCGACGAUCGGUAGCCGACCUGAGAGGGUGAUCGGCCACAUUGGGACUGAGACACGGCCCAAACUCCUACGGGAGGCAGCAGUGGGGAAUAUUGGGCAAUGGGGGGAAACCCUGACCCAGCAACGCCGCGUGAGGGAAGAAGGUUUUCGGAUCGUAAACCUCUGUCCUUGGUGAAGAGGAAGAGACGGUAGCCAAGGAGGAAGCCCCGGCUAACUACGUGCCAGCCGCCGC